CUGGGUGUGGAAGGUGGUGUAAGUGUGGAGGUGCUGGGUGUGGAAGGUGUAAGUGUGGAGGUGCUGGGUGUGGAAGGUGUAAGUGUGGACGUGCUGGGUGUGGAAGGUGGUGUAAGUGUGGAGGUGCUGGGUGUGGAAGGUGUAAGUGCGGAGGUGCUGGGUGUGGAAGGUGUAAGUGUGGACGUGCUGGGUGUGGAAGGUGUAAGUGUGGACGUGCUGGGUGUGGAAGGUGGUGUAAGUGUGGAGGUGCUGGGUGUGGAAGGUGUAAGUGCGGAGGUGCUGGGUGUGGAAGGUGUAAGUGUGGACGUGCUGGGUGUGGAAGGUGUAAGUGUGGACGUGCUGGGUGUGGAAGG